rnacentral:lncRNA from 1 species
CGAAGAGAAGGCGUCCAUGAAGGGGCGGAGCCAGGUCUUAGGGGCGUGAACAAACAAGCAGGGCGUGAUGCGGCCGCAGGAGAGGACCUGGUCUGGACAGAGAGGUGGGACGUGGUAGCGAGAGGAGGCGUGGUCAGGCAUCUCAUCAUGUGUCCAUGGCUUGUUUGAGUUUACCAUACGCUACCAACUUCUGAGCUCUUCUCAGCAAUAUUAGAACUUGAAAAGGCAUAUUAAUCUUUCAGAAACCCCACUGAAUCAAAAGAUUUCCAUUAAAAAAAUUCUGCUGAAAGAUGACUGCUACCUUGGCCCACAGAGUCUUACCUCCACAGAUGUGAGCCUCAGCUUCAUGCUCCUGCUGCCAUGUUUGCAUCCCACCAUCAUGGACUCUAACUCUCUGAAACUGGGAACACAAAUAGACUCUUCUAUAAGUUGCCUUGGUCAUGGUUUUGAAACAGCAAUAGAAAAGCAAUCAAUACAUAAGCCGAGUUCACUACAGACAGCACUGAGGUUGAUCUUAAUUCAGG